rnacentral:rRNA from 1 species
AUACGCAGGUGGCAAGCGUUGUCCGGAAUUAUUGGGCGUAAAGCGCAUGUAGGCGGUAAUUUAAGUCUGUCGUGAAACUGCGGGGCUCAGCCCCGUAUGGCGAUGGAAACUGGGUUACUUGAGUGCAGGAGAAGAAAGGGGAACUCCCAGUGUAGCGGUGAAAUGCGUAGAUAUUGGGAAGAACACCGGUGGCGAAGGCGCCUUUCUGGACUGUGUCUGACGCUGAGAUGCGAAAGCCAGGGUAGAGAACGGGAUUAGAUACCCCGGUAGUCCUGGCCGUAAACGAUGGGUACUAGGUGUGGGAGGUAUCGACCCCUUCCGUGCCGGAGUUAACGCAAUAAGUACCCCGCCUGGGGAGUACGGCCGCAAGGCUUAAACUCAAAGGAAUUGACGGGG